rnacentral:lncRNA from 1 species
CAAUAAGCAAGGCGGUGCAGCACUGCUGCUGUUUUCGUAGAGCAGCAGCGGAGACUUCUGAUUUCCGUGGAGGCUUUGGAGUGUAAGAGGAGCUCCUGGGGUCUGCGUGACAGAGGAGACUCACGGUGGAUGCUGAUCAUGCAUCUUCAGACGUUCUGCUCUCCCAAGGUGUUACGAUGUUUCUGUCAGCCACCACCCACCUAAUUCAAUGUCCUGAGGGAAGCAUGAUUUCUUUCUACGCCAGAAUCAGUCCUGCUCAGGAGGACUUGGGAGCAAACCUCCCACAGGGAGCAGCAUCUCCAGUUGCCCUGCAAGCCGGCUGCAUCCUGUUAGCCCAUUCAGUGUCACCCAAAGUCCUCUCAGAAAUUCCUGCUCACGUCUCAAAAGACACAUUGCAUGGUUUGGAAAACGCUGUAAACUCCCAGGAGAACGAGAGACCAAGGUAUGAGAUCUUUCUAGAUAAGGAAGACUGUAUAGUUUAUUUUCCUACAUAUUUUUC